GUUUGUCCCCCCGCCUUAAAAGGGACCGCGUGGAGGGGGCUCGCUCUUUUCCGCGCUUCGCCGCUACUACCGAGUUGGUUGUUGGAGGGAGGUUUUCUGCCGAAGCCAUGUGGGAUCUGACUUCAAAAAGCCAUAGAAAGAACCAGCGUGUAGAGUUGCGGGAGAAACAUGCAAAGGGACUCAGGAGCUGUCCUCCAAGAUGAGCAAUUGUGAUUGAAAUGCCAACUGUUAACUGGAAAGGAUAAUAAUAUCUCUGUGAAGAUGGAUUGGGCCAAGACAUUGACUGGCCCAACAUCCAGACAGCUUGCACACCUAAGUUGGGACUAGAAUUUUCCUUGAAGAGGCUUGUUAGAUACACAGUUUGUACUGAUGUAAACAUGAUUAAAAUCAGAGACCAGAUUUGCAUUAUUAAAGUUGAGAGCUGAAAGAAGAUUUUAGAAGAAUACACUUCUAAGAUGCAUGAAGGUAGGCUUGGACAAAUAUUACUACUAUUCAAUGCACUCAAGACUACUGAAAGUGUCCAUUUUUCCCUUGAAACCCUCUGAAGACCUACAUAUUGGGGCAAAGAGAUUAUUUCCUGCAUUAUUGUGGCAGUAAACUUAGAAGCUAACUUCUUCCCUUUGUUGUACAUGCUUACUGAAUGGGUCCAGUUUCAGAACCCUUCAGAUGGCAAAGAAGGGAUCCUUAAAAAUUCAUCUUGCA